rnacentral:tRNA from 1 species
UCCCUGGUGGCUAAGACGGUAAAGCAUCUGCCUGCAAUGCCGGAGGCGGGGUCCCUGGGUCGGGAAGAUCCCCUGGGGAA